GAUGAACGCUGGCGGCGUGCCUAAUACAUGCAAGUCGAGCGAACGGACGAGAAGCUUGCUUCUCUGAUGUUAGCGGCGGACGGGUGAGUAACACGUGGAUAACCUACCUAUAAGACUGGGAUAACUUCGGGAAACCGGAGCUAAUACCGGAUAAUAUUUUGAACCGCAUGGUUCAAAAGUGAAAGACGGUCUUGCUGUCACUUAUAGAUGGAUCCGCGCUGCAUUAGCUAGUUGGUAAGGUAACGGCUUACCAAGGCAACGAUGCAUAGCCGACCUGAGAGGGUGAUCGGCCACACUGGAACUGAGACACGGUCCAGACUCCUACGGGAGGCAGCAGUAGGGAAUCUUCCGCAAUGGGCGAAAGCCUGACGGAGCAACGCCGCGUGAGUGAUGAAGGUCUUCGGAUCGUAAAACUCUGUUAUUAGGGAAGAACAUAUGUGUAAGUAACUGUGCACAUCUUGACGGUACCUAAUCAGAAAGCCACGGCUAACUACGUGCCAGCAGCCGCGGUAAUACGUAGGUGGCAAGCGUUAUCCGGAAUUAUUGGGCGUAAAGCGCGCGUAGGCGGUUUUUUAAGUCUGAUGUGAAAGCCCACGGCUCAACCGUGGAGGGUCAUUGGAAACUGGAAAACUUGAGUGCAGAAGAGGAAAGUGGAAUUCCAUGUGUAGCGGUGAAAUGCGCAGAGAUAUGGAGGAACACCAGUGGCGAAGGCGACUUUCUGGUCUGUAACUGACGCUGAUGUGCGAAAGCGUGGGGAUCAAACAGGAUUAGAUACCCUGGUAGUCCACGCCGUAAACGAUGAGUGCUAAGUGUUAGGGGGUUUCCGCCCCUUAGUGCUGCAGCUAACGCAUUAAGCACUCCGCCUGGGGAGUACGACCGCAAGGUUGAAACUCAGAGGAAUUGACGGGGACCCGCACAAGCGGUGGAGCAUGUGGUUUAAUUCGAAGCAACGCGAAGAACCUUACCAAAUCUUGACAUCCUUUGACAACUCUAGAGAUAGAGCUUUCCCCUUCGGGGGACAAAGUGACAGGUGGUGCAUGGUUGUCGUCAGCUCGUGUCGUGAGAUGUUGGGUUAAGUCCCGCAACGAGCGCAACCCUUAAGCUUAGUUGCCAUCAUUAAGUUGGGCACUCUAAGUUGACUGCCGGUGGCAAACCGGAGGAAGGUGGGGAUGACGUCAAAUCAUCAUGCCCCUUAUGAUUUGGGCUACACACGUGCUACAAUGGACAAUACAAAGGGCAGCGAAACCGUGAGGUCAAGCAAAUCCCAUAAAGUUGUUCUCAGUUCGGAUUGUAGUCUGCAACUCGACUACAUGAAGCUGGAAUCGCUAGUAAUCGUAGAUCAGCAUGCUACGGUGAAUACGUUCCCGGGUCU
rnacentral:rRNA from 1 species